rnacentral:rRNA from 1 species
CCUACGGGUGGCAGCAGUGGGGAAUAUUGCACAAUGGGGGAAACCCUGAUGCAGCGACGCCGCGUGAGUGAAGAAGUAAUUCGUUACGUAAAGCUCUAUCAGCAGGGAAGAAAAUGACGGUACCUGAGUAAGAAGCCCCGGCUAACUACGUGCCAGCAGCCGCGGUAAUACGUAGGGGGCAAGCGUUAUCCGGAUUUAUUGGGUUUAAAGGGAGCGUAGGCCGGCUUUUAAGUCAGCUGUGAAAGUCCGCGGCUCAACCGUGGAAUUGCAGUUGAAACUGGAGGCCUUGAGUGCACACAGGGAUGCCGGAAUUCAUGGUGUAGCGGUGAAAUGCUUAGAUAUCAUGAAGAACUCCGAUCGCGAAGGCAAGUGUCCGGGGUGCAACUGACGCUGAGGCUCGAAAGUGCGGGUAUCAAACAGGAUUAGAUACCCCGGUAGUC